rnacentral:misc_RNA from 1 species
UCCGGCUUGUCUCCGGUCCAGCCGAACUGAAGGGCUCCAUCUCUGGUGCCCGCGACCGGGAUGUCAAAAGCUGGUAAGGUUCUUCGCGUUGCUUCGAAUUGAACCACAUGCUCCACCGCUUGUGCGGGCCCCCGUCAAUUCCUUUGAGUUUUAAUCUUGCGACCGUACUCCCCAGGCGGGAUGCUUAAUGCGUUAGCUGCGCCACCAACAAGCAUGCUUGCUGACGGCUAGCAUCCAUCGUUUACGGCGUGGACUAC